rnacentral:lncRNA from 1 species
GGAUAAAGGACAGAGAGCAUCUUGGCCAAGUGUGCUUGUUAGGCCGCUGUGGGUUCUGGCACACCCUUUCUCCAAAGAGAAUUGCCUUGCCAAGCUACUUGCACCUUGUUCACAUGUUCCUUUGUAUGACACUAGGGUUAUUCUUGUUUCUAAUGUGCCCUUUCUCUGCUGUCCCAUCCAUUCUCUGUGUCUCCUUACACUUUCUCUUCUACUUUUGUGUCAUAUGUGUGGUUUUAUGUAUCUCUAUAAAAUAUAGCAUCCAAAAAUGAAGGAGAAUUUGAUGCCUGUCUUUCUAAAUCUGUCAAUUCACUUAAUAAUCUCCAAGAUGGCUGAGCUGGCCAGGUGGUGGUGGUGCACACCUUUAAUCCCAGCAAUUGGGAGGCAGAGACAUGUGGAUUCCUGAGUUCGAGGCCAGCCUGGUCUACAGAGUGAGUUCCAGGACAGCUAGGGCUAUAUAGAAAAAACCCUGUUCCAAAAAAAAAAAAAAAAAAUGCUGAGUGAGUAAAGGCACCUGCUGGCAAACCUGAUGACAUGAGACCCCCUCUAAUAAAGCUCAUUGCUGAAGGGGAAUUUGUGUCAGCUCCUUUUCCAAAUGAACCUACCAUGCAACGAACCCACUAUGCAGCCUCUCUUCACUGAAAUCUAACAAAGUUCUACAAGGAGUAUUUAGAAGAUGCAUUUGUUUAAAUGCCCCUGACUCCUCACUUGGGCUCACAAAGGAACUAAAAGCAAGAUGGAAACCUGGCAUCUCUGCCUUCCUUUUUCAUCUAUCUCCCUCCCCUACUUUUUUUUUUGGUAAAUUAUUUUAUUUACAUUUCAGCUCCCUCAUCCCACUCCUACCCCCACCCCUAAGGUUCUGUGCCCCGCCCCACCUCCCCCCUUCCCAGAGGCCUCAAGUCUCUAAAGGAUCGAGUGCAUCUUCUCCCAGAGGCCAGACCAGGCAGGCCUCUGCUGUGUAUGUGCUUGGAUCAGCCAUGGUACUGCUUGGUUGGUGGCUCAGUCUUUCUCCCUCCCCUACUUUGCACUUGAUUCCUGCUUGACUCUGCACACAGAACCAAUGGGUACCUAUCUAGGAACGGGCGAUACCUAACCUAUCUUAUCCCUCCUCUAGUCUGAAGGUACAAAGAUAAGAUUAAGGCAUAUUCUUGUCAGCAGCUCCCUGUCCCCCACACAUACAUGGCACCUAAAAGUCCCCACUCACUGCCAGAUCCCCUGGAGCUGGAGCUGCCUGAUGUGGGUCUGGGAAUCGAACUCUCGUCUUCUGCAAGAACAGCAAGUGCUCCUAAUCACUGAGCCAUCUCUCCAAAGCCUCCCACCCAACCCCCCUUAUGAAAUUGAUAGCUCAACCCCCUUCAUGGUCAUUUUUGCUGCUGUGAUUUUUUUCCUUGAACUUUCUAUUUAGUUGAGAAUUUUUUUUCAAUUUUUAUUAGAUAUUUUCUUCAUUUACAUUUCAAAUGCUAUUCCGAAAGUCCCCUAUACCCUCCCCCUACCCUGCUCCCCUACCCACCCACUCAAACUUCUUGGCCCUGGCGUUCCCCUGUACUGGGGCAUAUAAAGUUUGCAAGACCAAGAAGUUGUGCAUUCAUGCACAUCUAUCAUGUUAGGUCAGCAGUGAGCACUCACUGUACUUCCUCAAGUGCUCAGCUUCUGCAAGUCAUAGAUGGUGCAUAAGUGAGGUGAGAGACUCGGGCACAUGAAGUGGAAAGAACAUAUCCUUUCCUUUGCCUGUGUUAGGUUCAUGACUGAGGUUCCCAUGACAAAAGACAGAUUCACAAGGGGAAAACCCCCAUUAUUUAAUAUGAAUUUUGUGUUUCAUGGGACCUUCGUUAAAAAACCAAGAGAUGAAACAUACUGUGGGGUAUGUCAGGUCUAAUGAAGAGUCAUGGAGACAUAGUAAGGUAAAGCAUUAUAGUAGCUUGGUAAUGGCUACCUCCAAAUAUAGAUGUUACCAGACUCUUAAGGUCCCUAUAGCCUGCUGUGACCCAGGAGACUGAGAUUAUUGGAAGGAAAUAGAUUUGUUCAAAUCCAGUUUUUGGAGGAAAACAGGAGAUUUUUCCAUCUCAAAUAUCCGUUUGUAUGUGUUUGGGGCAGUGUGUGUGUGUGUGUGUGUGUGUGGUGGGGCUCAGGCACAGUGGGGGUAAUGAACAGAAACUCUAAGUUCUGGGAAGGGUCUUCCUCUCCAGCUCCUGCCUCCCUGUUUCUUCCUCCUCAGAAUGAGCCUCUGCCUCUAAGGCCAGCUUCAUUAUCUCUUUUCAAACCAACUUUACUUUUUUGCAAGUUCUUUCAUAGAUUCUAAGCCUAGAGUCUAAGGAGAGGAGUGGGUGUUCCAGAAGCCUCUCUAGAACAGCAUCACAGGGAUGAGGGAUGAGACUAGGGAAAAGAUGAGAAGACAAGGUGAAGAAAUAGCUUCUUCUUGAUUGGUACCUAAGAAGGGCACCUCUCAGCCCAGGAUCUCAUGACCUGCUUCAGGGAAUGCCAACAUCUGUCCUGGGCUUCUUGAUCUGCUUCAGGGAUGGAGGAAAGGAGAAGGCCCAAGAGACAUUCCUGUAUGUGCUUGUCUCUCCUACCACACCAAUAAUGUUUGAUGCCCUGGAUUUCAUGUCAAGCAGCUUUUGAUUUUAUGACUCAUGUCCGUGCAUAUUUGGAAAAGAUGUUUCCAAGUUCCCCAAGAUGCCAUCCAGCUUGGUCCAGAGUCCAGCUUGGACCCCAGAGUGAGGGGUCCAUUUUCCACAUCCAUGAUCUCUCCAGCGUAACUUGCCUUUUCUGAGAAGAUUGCCAGUAAGAAGCUAGAGAGUUGAGUAUACGCCAUUUGGUUAUGGCAUCUUGUUGAUUUUUAGACAGGAUAUCACUAUGGAGCUCUGCCUGGCCUGGAACCCACAGAAGGUCUGCUUCUGCCUCCCAGGUGCUGGCUUUAUAUGCACAUACUACUGGUAACACCAAGCUGUUUAUUUUUCUUUUUCACACAGUUUCUCAUUCUGUAGUCUAAGCUGUCCUGCAACACCCUAUGUAUUCCAGGCUGGUCUCAAACUCAAGAUUAUCCUCACCUCCUAAAUGCUGGGAUUGCAGAUAUGAAUCACCAUGCCCAGCUGGAACUAAUUUUAAAGCCUAAACAAUUUAGAUUGUCUAUUUUUUUCCUCCCUGCCAUUUUCUUGAAACAAAAACUUUAAAAAAUGUAUGUUUGGUGUUGGUUUUUUUCCUCCGGGGAGACUGCUUUUAGUUAGUAUGCUGGGAACAACAUUUUAUAGCAUAAGAUAAAGUCUCAGAACCUAGAGGUUAGAGCCAGUGGUCCAGAAAGCUGACCUAUCUAGGCUGCAUCACUGUCCUCAAGAGGGCUCUUUGAGCUAGAGAUACUGCAACACAGCCCAGAGUGACAAGGCCAGUUGUCAUGAUAGUUGCUUUUGCAGAUAAUUUAAUGGUGUGAGAGCAAUAUGCAAUUUGAAUAAUCCAUAUUGCUGGAGUCACAAUUUCUUAGAGUAUUUUGACAAGUGUAUAUUGUUUUAUAAGGCCUAGGAUUAAAGAAAACUCAAGUAAUUUUCAAGUUAGAAGGAACUUCUUUGGCUCUACUGUUGCUGUUCUUUUCAUGGCUUUAAAUACUCAUUUUUUUCAUUUUUUGAGAUAAUAUGUUUACGUUGGCCUUUUUGGUUUUUUUGUUUGUUUAAUUGUUUGUUUGAGUCGUGGCCUUACUAUUGACUUGAACUGGCCCUGAACUCUCAGCUUCUCAGAUGUAGGGAUUACAAAGUGUGAGCCAUUGCCCACAGGCUUUCCUGCCGCUUUUGAAAUACCUUGGCAUUUCUGAGUGAAUAAAAAGGUUUCAUGGUUUCUCUCUGU